GGGCGGUGAUGAUUUUCUGCGCUUCUGUGAUGGUUGGGUCCAUCACCAUCGUCUGAUCUUACAGAUUGAAAAACGCGAUUCUGAGCUA